CUUUUUACCCGUAACUUCUCCCCACAUCCCCCCGUCCCCCCUAUGUCUUCAUACCACAGCAUACCCCAGUGUCUCACCUGCAGCCCACAUCUUGCCUUCUCCCAAACAGCAUUCUGCUCCUGCAGGUUGUGAGCCCAUAUCCUCCCAUGUGCUUAUAUCCCCCUCUCCCCGCCCCACACACCCAGAGCCCCAUAGCUCCUCCAGUACCUCCUCAGACCAGGUACAUCUCCCCCACAGCCAACCUGGGACCUCAUAGAGCCCCGCAGUCCCCAACAGCACCCCUUAUCCUUGCACUGGGCUCCCACUGAACCCCCACAUAUCUUCCCUUGGACCUCCCUAACCCCCCUCAGGUCACCCCUGGGAUCUCACAGGCCCCCACAGUCCCAGACAGGACCCCGAUCAUUGUCCCAGGACGUCCAUAGCCCACCUGGGGCUCCUCUUCACCCCCGUAUCCUUCCAGAUCCCAUACAGCAGGCGGGGAAUGCAGAGCUGGCAAAGGUGUAGGGCACAGCUGUGGGUGAAAGUGACGUGGGGGGCACUGGGGAGACGGGUGCGUGGGAACGUGGGAGGAUGUGGGGGUAUGGGCCACAGCCUGCAGGAGCAGAGUGCUGCGUGGGAGAAGGCAACGUGUGAGGUAAAGGUGGGACCUGUGGGUGCGGGGACAUGGGGUGGCAUGGGGACGUAGGGGGUGUGGGGGCAUGUGGGGAGCGGUUUGGGGUCAGAGUGGGGGAUGUGGGGCGGUGUUGGAGUGCAUUUAUGGAUUUCUUCCUGAGAGGGGGUUGGGGUUCCCUGUGGCCCCAAGGUGGAGCCCUGGUCCGUAACCCCACGUGACCCCAUUACCCCAUACAACUCCGCGUGACCCCAGGGCUCCACAUCACCCAUAGCCCUGUGAGUACCAUAUGCCCAGAGGAGGCUCUGGACAGUGAUGGGGCUGUUAUUGGGUCGUUCAGGGGGUGCUUUAGGGUGGCUCUGGGGCCGCUGUAGAACAGCACUCUAUAUCUGCCCCUGACCCUCAUCUUGCCCACGUCUUCUGGGGCAAGAUGGGGGUCAAGGGAGC
rnacentral:lncRNA from 1 species